rnacentral:lncRNA from 1 species
UCUCUCAUCAGUGUGGUGAUCACCGAAGUCAUCUGUAUGGCCACCACCAGCAUCACCAUAGGCAUUGCCACCGCUGUUGUCACCAUAUGCAUUGUAACCACUGUUGUCAGCACCUACAUUGGCAUCAGCAGUGUGAUCUUCCUCCGACCCCGGCCCAUCUUCAGCAUUUGCAAUGCCAUAUUCCCCAGUAGCAUAUGUACCACCAAAUACAAUACAUAGCUCGGGAU